AUGCUCGGUUUAGCAGCACUUACACUGUAAUUGGGAUGAUACAGAGAUUAGAACGGCCCCUGUGCAGAGAUGACAUGUAAAUUCAUGAAGCCGUCCAUAAUUGU